AUUGAACGCUGGCGGAAUGCUUUACACAUGCAAGUCGAACGGCAGCACGGACUUCGGUCUGGUGGCGAGUGGCGAACGGGUGAGUAAUGCAUCGGAACGUGCCCAAUCGUGGGGGAUAACGUAGCGAAAGUUACGUUAAUACCGCACACGAUCUAAGGAUGAAAGCGGGGGAUCGCAAGACCUCGCGCGAAUGGAGCGGCCGAUGUUAGAUUAGGUAGUUGGUGGGGGAAAGGCUCACCAAGCCGACGAUCUAUAGCUGGGCUGAGAGGAUGGUCAGCCACACUGGGACUGAGACACGGCCCAGACUCCUCCGGGAGGCAGCAGUGGGGAAUUGUGGACAAUGGGCGCAAGCCUGAUCCAGCCAUUCCGCGUGCAGGAUGAAGGCCCUCGGGUUGUAAACUGCUUUUGUACAGAACGAAAAGCUCUGGGUUAGUACCCUGGGGUCAUGACGGUGCUGUAAGAAUAAGCACCGGCUAACUACGUGCCAGCCGCCGCCGUAAGAC
rnacentral:rRNA from 1 species